rnacentral:snRNA from 1 species
AUCGCUUCUCGGCCUUUUGGCUAAGAUCAAGUGUAGUAUCUGUUAUCAGUUUAAAGGUUUUAUUUAUUUAUUUGAGUGAGAGGGCACGGGCAUGCGCACAAGGAGGGGGAGGGGCAGAGGAAGAGGGAGAAGCAGGGAUUCCCCCACCACCG